rnacentral:lncRNA from 1 species
CUUUCCCCAGAUUAUUCCUCCAAACUUCCUAUCAACUUCCAAGUCAAUUUGUUCCCCAAAGUCAACUCUUUAUGUAUAUAUAAUUUGAAUUAUUUAACAAUUGAACAAUAUUUUUUUAGCCAUAAAUGUUGGUUUACCCAGUCAAAUUAUUCGUACCUGCAAAGACUAUCUAGAACAAUAAAUCGAGCACGCAUUUGAAUCCGUCUUGUAGAAGGAAGCUUCCUUCUGGCCUAAGGUUAUAACCAGGAAAUUUCUAUUUUAUUUAAAAAGUUGAACGUCCAACAUAAAUAAGAGUUGAACUCAGGCAAGAAGUUGUAUGUACGAGUACUUUUAUUGCGUGUUUGUGUGUGUUUAAUUGAGAAAGAGAUGGCCGAAAAUAAGCUCUAUGAUGCAGCAGUGAAAGGGGAUGUAAAAUCUUUGCUCGAUUUACUCAAAGAAGAUCCGUUGAUUCUUGCUAGAGUUUCGUUUACAUGUUCCGACAAGACUCCUUUACACAUAGCAACAAUAUUCCAACACACGGCCUUUGUCCAAGAAAUUC